rnacentral:rRNA from 1 species
UAAACCUCUUUUCUCUGGGAAGAAGAUCUGACGGUACCUGAGGAAUAAGCCUCGGCUAACUCCGUGCCAGCAGCCGCGGUAAGACGGAAGAGGCAAGCGUUAUCCGGAAUUAUUGGGCGUAAAGCGUCCGCAGGCGGUUUUUUAAGUCUGUUGUCAAAGGUCACAGCUCAACUGUGGAUAGGCAAUGGAAACUGGAGAGCUUGAGUGUGGUAGGGGUAGAGGGAAUU